CCACAAAAAACACCAAAAAGUCUUGCUACUAUUCUAAGGCCCCGACCAUUUCAAAGUUUCUAAAUAAAGAAUUUUCUUUUUUCUUUUACCUGUUCUCCAUCUUCACACACACGAACAAAGAAACCAAACCCCAAAACAAAAGGACUUGGGCGUUAUAUGGCUAAAAGAGAAGUCAGGAGUGACGUUUCUGAAGACUUGACAAGAGAGUCACUGAUUGCUCUAUCCUAUUCUCUACCAGAGAUAGAUCAAUCUGCAACAGACAACCCAAAAAGCAGUGUGAAAAAUGUCACGGAGGCUGUAAAUGCUGAUGGAAAGGAUAAAGUGAGGUCUGAACUUAUCUCAAUAUCAUAUGCUGAUUCACCGGACACCAUAUAUUUACCGGUUUCUCCUGCAAAAACCAAGGGUUAGGCCGUUUAGCCCUCUUCUCUUUCUAUCCUCCUUGUGUUUAUUUUCAUGUAUACCAUGUGAAACACAAUGAACAACUCUAGGUUGUUGCAGCCGUCAUUACAGCAAAAUACAUCACAUGUGUGUAGUUUUGCAGUUGUUAAUGCUUCUUUGUGACUUUCGCAACGUAAAUUCUGUUUUCUGAAUUAUAAAUUAAUCAUUCUGUCUUUGAUGUGCAA